GUGGUACUCGAGCGGCGAACGGGUGAGUAACACGUGAGUAAUCUGCCCCUGGCUUUGGGAUAGCCACCGGAAACGGUGAUUAAUACCGGAUAUGACAACUUCUCGCAUGAGGGGUUGUGGAAAGUUUUUCGGCCAGGGAUGUGCUCGCGGCCUAUCAGCUUGAUGGUGAGGUAAUGGCUCACCAUGGCUUCGACGGGUAGCCGGCCUGAGAGGGUGACCGGCCACACUGGGACUGAGACACGGCCCAGACUCCUACGGGAGGCAGCAGUGGGGAAUAUUGGACAAUGGGCGGAAGCCUGAUCCAGCAACGCCGCGUGAGGGAUGACGGCCUUCGGGUUGUAAACCUCUUUCAGCAGGGACGAAGCGCAAGUGACGGUACCUGCAGAAGAAGCACCGGCCAACUACGUGCCAGCAGCCGCGGUAAUACGUAGGGUGCGAGCGUUGUCCGGAAUUAUUGGGCGUAAAGGGCUCGUAGGCGGUUUGUCGCGUCGGGAGUGAAAACCAGGUGCUUAACACCUGGCUUGCUUUCGAUACGGGCAGACUAGAGGUAUUCAGGGGAGAACGGAAUUCCUGGUGUAGCGGUGAAAUGCGCAGAUAUCAGGAGGAACACCGGUGGCGAAGGCGGUUCUCUGGGAAUGACCUGACGCUGAGGAGCGAAAGUGUGGGGGAGCGAACAGGAUUAGAUACCCUGGUAGUCCACACCGUAAACGUUGGGCG
rnacentral:rRNA from 1 species